rnacentral:rRNA from 2 species
UUGGCUUAGAAGCAGCCAUCAUUUAAAGAAAGCGUAAUAGCUCACUGGUCGAGUCGGCCUGCGCGGAAGAUGUAACGGGGCUAAACCAUGCACCGAAGCUGCGGCAGCGACACUAUGUGUUGUUGGGUAGGGGAGCGUUCUGUAAGCCGUUGAAGGUGGCCUGUGAGGGUUGCUGGAGGUAUCAGAAGUGCGAAUGCUGACAUAAGUAACGAUAAUGCGGGUGAAAAAC